GAUGAGCGCUGGCGGCGUGCCUAAUACAUGCCAGUCGAGCGAACGGACGAGAAGCUUGCUUCUCUGAUGUUAGCGGCGGACGGGUGAGUAACACGUGGAUAACCUACCUAUAAGACUGGGAUAACUUCGGGAAACCGGAGCUAAUACCGGAUAAUAUUUUGAACCGCAUGGUUCAAAAGUGAAAGACGGUCUUGCUGUCACUUAUAGAUGGAUCCGCGCUGCGUUAGCUAGUUGGUAAGGUAACGGCUUACCAAGGCAACGAUGCAUAGCCGAACUGAGAGGGUGAGCGGCCACACUGGAACUGAGACCGGCUCCAUACUCCUACGGGAGGGAGCAGUAGGGAAUCUUCCGCAAUGGGCGAAAGCCUGACGGAGCAACGCCGCGUGAGUGAUGAAGGUCUUCGGAUCGUAAAACUCUGUUAUUAGGGAAGAACAUAUGUGUACGUAACUGUGCACAUCUUGACGGUACCUAAUCAGAAAGCCACGGCUAACUACGUG
rnacentral:rRNA from 1 species